UACAGAGGGUGCGAGCGUUAAUCGGAAUUACUGGGCGUAAAGCGCGCGUAGGUGGUUUGUUAAGUCGGAUGUGAAAUCCCUGGGCUCAACCUAGGAACUGCACCCGAUACUGGCAAGCUAGAGUAUGGUAGAGGGGAGUGGAAUUUCCGGUGUAGCGGUGAAAUGCGUAGAUAUCGGAAGGAACACCAGUGGCGAAGGCGACUCCCUGGGCCAAUACUGACACUGAGGCGCGAAAGCGUGGGGAGCAAACAGG
rnacentral:rRNA from 1 species